CCCCGCCCCGUCGAAAAGGGAAAUAGGGUUAAUAUCCUAUCUGAAGAUGCAAAGGAUUGUGUCUUCGGAGCACAAGCGCGGUUAACGCCGUUCGAACUUGGUAAAGUCGCUCAGAGACCCGAGCUAGAGUUUUCUUCUCUAGUUAAGGAACGGACUCCCUGGAAUUGGUUCAGCCAGAGAUGGGGACGUUGUUUCCGAAAAGCACCGCGGUUUCUGUGGUGUCUCGUGCUCUCUGAACGGCCCUUUAAACACCAAGGGAGGCUAUUAAUUUGCACUCAAUCGUACCGAUAUCCGCAUUAGGUCUCCAAGGUGAACAGCCUCUAGUCGAUAGAAUAAUGUAGGUAAGGGAAGUCGGCAAACUAGAUCCGUAACUUCGGGAAAAGGAUUGGCUCCAGUGGUCGGAACGGUUGGCCAGUUGGUUGAUGCUUGUCCGGCGCUGUUCUGUCUGCUUGAUGCUUUCGGGCUGAUGGCGGCCUAGUGAUAGUGCUUGCUUGUUGACGCUUUCUGGUGUGUGCUUUGACCUCGGUCUUAGUAUCCUGAUCGUUCAUCUAAACGACUAAACUGGAACCGGUACGGACUCAGGGAAUCCGACUGUCUAAUUAAAACAGAGGUGACAGAUGGUCCUUGCGGACGCUGACUGUCACUGAUUUUCUGCCCAGUGCUCUGAAUGUUAAAUCGUAGUAAUUCGAGUAAGCGCGGGUAAACGGCGGGAGUAACUAUGACUCUCUUAAGGUAGCCAAAUGCCUCGUCAUUUAAUUGUUGACGCGCAUGAAAUGGAUUAACGAGAUUCCUACUGUCCCUAACUACUAUCUAGCGAAACCACAGCCAAGGGAACGGGCUUGGCAAAAAUAGCGGGGAAAGAAGACCCUGUUGAGCUUGACUCUAGUUUGACAUUGUGAAGAGUCAUGAGAGGUGUAGCAUAGGUGGGAGUCUUCGGACGCCAAUGAAAUACCACCACUUUCAUCGACUCUUUACUUAUUCGGUUAAAAGAGAAUUGGUCGCAAGGCCUCUUUUCGAAGUAUUAAGCGGAUCCAUUUUAUGGAACCGUGACUCUCCCCGAAGACAGUGUCAAGCGGGGAGUUUGACUGGGGCGGUACAUCUAUCAAAUCGUAACGUAGGUGUCCUAAGGCGAGCUCAGAGAGGACGGAAACCUCUCGUAGAGCAAAAGGGCAAAAGCUUGCUUGAUCUUGACUUUCAGUAC
rnacentral:ncRNA from 1 species